rnacentral:rRNA from 1 species
CUUGGUCAUUUAGAGGAGUAAAAGUCGUAACAAGGUUUCCUUCCCCCUAUUGAAGCCUUCCGCAGGACUUGAUAAAUAACUGCGUAGCCUGCUUUGCAGACCACACCACGAAAGGCUAGGACUUGAUUAACUUCGAGUACCAGCAGCCUAGAGUUCUAGGUCCCAGAUCAUGUAGUGGUGGUCAUUUAUGAUUGAGAUAUGACCGGUCUUAAUAAUUCUAGUUAAGAAUCAACGUUCCGUAGGUGAACCUGCGGAAGGAUCUUAUUGAAAAAGGGAACCCUUCGGGGUUCAACCUUAAACCCUUUGUCUUAUUACCUGUUUCUUUGGCGGGCUCGCCCGUCAGAAGUUUUCUCAAACCCUUAUAAAUGUGUCUUCUGAAUAACAAAAUAAAUCAAAACUUUCAACAACGAUCUCUUGGUUCUGGCAUCGAUGAAGAACGCAGCGAAAUGCGAUAAGUAUGUGAAUUGCAGAAUUCAGUGAAUCAUCGAAUCUUUGAACGCAUAUUGGCCCUUUGGCAUUCCGAAGGGCAUACCUGUUCGAGCGUCAUUACACCCCCAAGUCAAACUUUUUGGUUAACUUGGUGUUGGGCCUUGCCGGAAGGCAUCCUGAAAAUUAGCGAUGGUACGUUAAACCACGGACGCACAAAUGUCGUUCGUAGGGGCACGGCACCAGUCUAAUGAUUAAUUUCUCAAUGUUGACCUCGAUCAGGUAGGAAUACCCGCUGAACUUAAGCAUAUCAAUAAGCGGAGG